GAUGAACGCUGGCGGCGUGCUUAACACAUGCAAGUCGAACGAAGCACCUUGAUUCGAUUCUUCGGAUGAAGAUCUUGGUGACUGAGUGGCGGACGGGUGAGUAACGCGUGGGUAACCUGCCUCAUACAGGGGGAUAACAGUUAGAAAUGACUGCUAAUACCGCAUAAGACCACAGCACCGCAUGGUGCAGGGGUAAAAACUCCGGUGGUAUGAGAUGGACCCGCGUCUGAUUAGGUAGUUGGUGGGGUAACGGCCUACCAAGCCGACGAUCAGUAGCCGAGCUGAGAGGGUGACCGGCCACAUUGGGACUGAGACACGGCCCAAACUCCUACGGGAGGCAGCAGUGGGGAAUAUUGCACAAUGGGGGAAACCCUGAUGCAGCGACGCCGCGUGAGCGAUGAAGUAUUUCGGUAUGUAAAGCUCUAUCAGCAGGGAAGAAAAUGACGGUACCUGACUAAGAAGCACCGGCUAAAUACGUG
rnacentral:rRNA from 1 species